rnacentral:rRNA from 1 species
CCUACGGGGGACAGCAGUGGGGAAUAUUGCACAAUGGGGGAAACCCUGAUGCAGCGACGCCGCGUGAGUGAAGAAGUAUUUCGGUACGUAAAGCUCUAUCAGUAGGGAAGAAAAUGACGGUACCUGACUAAGAAGCCCCGGCUAACUACGUGCCAGCAGCCGCGGUAAUACGUAGGGGGCAAGCGUUAUCCGGAUUUACUGGGUGUAAAGGGAGCGUAGACGGCAGCGCAAGUCUGGAGUGAAAUCCCAUGGCUUAACCAUGGAACUGCUUUGGAAACUGUGCAGCUAGAGUGCAGGAGAGGUAAGCGGAAUUCCUAGUGUAGCGGUGAAAUGCGUAGAUAUUAGGAGGAACACCAGUGGCGAAGGCGGCUUACUGGACUGUAACUGACGUUGAGGCUCGAAAGCGUGGGGAGCAAACAGGAUUAGAUACCCGAGUAGUC